rnacentral:misc_RNA from 1 species
UUUCCGUAGGUGAACCUGCGGAAGGAUCAUUACUGAGUGAGGGCCCCUCGGGGUCCAACCUCCCACCCGUGUUUAACGAACCUUGUUGCUUCGGCGGGCCCGCCGCGCGGCCGCCGGUGGGCAUCUGCCCCCGGGCCCGCGCCCGCCGAAGCCACCUGUGAACGCUGUCUGAAGUAUGCAGUCUGAGACAAUUAUUAAAUUAAUUAAAACUUUCAACAACGGAUCUCUUGGUUCCG